GACGAACGCUGGCGGCGUGCUUAACACAUGCAAGUCGAACGGAAAGGCCUGCUUUCCCUUGUGGAUUGCGGGUACUCGAGUGGCGAACGGGUGAGUAACACGUGAGUGAUCUGCCCCCAACUUGGGUAUAAGCCUGGGAAACUGGGUCUAAUUCCCGAUAGGACUGCAGGGUGGUGCCUGUGGUGGAAAACGAUUUUCUAGUGGUUGGGGAUGAGCUCGCGGCCUAUCAGCUUGUUGGUGGGGUAAUGGCCUACCAAGGCGGCGACGGGUAGCCGGCCUGAGAGGGUGGACGGCCACAUUGGGACUGAGAUACGGCCCAGACUCCUACGGGAGGCAGCAGUGGGGAAUAUUGCACAAUGGGCGGAAGCCUGAUGCAGCGACGCCGCGUGGGGGAUGACGGCCUUCGGGUUGUAAACUCCUUGCGACCGCGAGGAAGCCACCUGGUUGGAAGGGUGGUGACGGUAGUGGUAGAAGAAGCACCGGCUAACUACGUG
rnacentral:rRNA from 1 species